GUCUUUAAAUAUAAUUAACUUUGAAAGUUAAUUUAGCUUUUUGCUAAAGACU
rnacentral:tRNA from 1 species